rnacentral:lncRNA from 1 species
UUUCCAAUUGAAAUUCUGUUAUUGCCAAAAAUUCAAAGCAUUGACAUUUCAUUAAACUUCCAACUUAUGGGUCAGUUGCCAGAAUUUCCAGCAAACAAUGCUUUACAGAGUUUGUCGCUUUUUUAUACAAAUUUCAGUGGAAAACUACCUGAAUCGAUUGGUAAUCUUAAGUUCCUGACAAACUUAGAGCUUUAUGAUUGCAAUUUUUUUGGACCCAUUCCAUCGUCAAUUGCAAAUCUUAGUCACCUGGUCAACCUAUAUCUAGGAGGGAACAGGCUUUCUGAUUCAAUACAUUCUUCUUUAUUUACUCUUCCAUCGUUAAAGACCUUGUAUCUUGGAGAAAAUCAAUUGGUUGGGAAAAUUGAUGAGUUCCCCAAUGCAUCUUCUUCUUUGAUUCAAGAAUUAGAUAUAGGAAAUAAUUAUUUAACAGGACCAAUCCCAAAGUCAAUCCUUCAACUUCCAAGGCUUGAAGUGCUUGAGAUCGGAGAAAAUAGCUUCAGUUCCCUGAAGCUUGACAUGUUUGUCCAACUUAAGAACUUAAAGGAUCUCGACUUAUCCAAUGUAAGCUUGUUAAUUGAAAGCGACAACAGAAGUCUUACUUUUCCCCAAUUAGAGAGCCUAAGCCUAAGGUCAUGCAACCUUACUGAAUUUCCAGAAUUCAUUAAAAGGCAAGACAAGUUGGUUGACUUAGAUCUUUCUAACAAUCAUAUCCAUGGUGUUGUGCCUAAUUGGUUGUGGAAGAGCAGUCUUUCAUCCUUACACCUUUCUUUCAAUGUGAUUGAUUUUCCCAAAAAACUUCCUCUAAAUGAUGCAAACUUCUCUUUCCCAAUGUUGAGGCGAUUGAAUCUGGAAUCUUGUAACAUAAGCGCAUUUCCGGAGUUCUUAAAGAGUCAAGAAAAUUUAGAAGAACUCGACCUUUCAAAUAAUAAAAUAAGUGGUGCAAUACCAAACUGGGUGUGGAAGAAAAGUUUGCGGUAUCUGUAUCUUGCUAAUAACCAUCUCUCAUCUUUGGACCAACUUUUACCCAAUCAGAGUUCAACUUCUUCACAAACCUCCUCGACUAGACCUAUUUGCAAUUUGAGUCAAAUUAAGGUUUUCAAUGCACCUCAUAACAAUUUGAGCGGCACGAUUCCAAAUUGCUUAGGCAAAAUGAAUGAUCUCUAUUUGUUGGAUCUGCAAGGAAAUAACUUCAGUGGAAUGUUACCAAAAUUUUCAAAAGCAACCCAAUUAUCUAUUCUCAAAGUUAGUGAGAAUAGAUUGGAAGGGAAGUUGCCUAGAUCAUUAGUGGAAUGCACUCUGCUUGAAGUUUUGGACGUGGGAAACAACAUGAUGAAUGAUACAUUCCCUUUUUGGUUGCAGAAAUUGCCUUACUUGACGGUUCUAAUAUUGCGGGAAAACAGAUUUUAUGGUCAAAUUAAACAUUUCAAACAUAAAUUUGUUUUCCCAAAUUUGGAUGUGUUGGACAUUGCUUCAAACCAGUUUUCUGGUGAACUAUCCAUUAAUUUCCUUCAAGCCACUCUUACUUGUCUUGACCUUUCCAGCAAUAGUUUCCAUGGGAGAAUACCAGAAGAAAUAAAAAUGCUGAGGUCACUCAAAGUGCUAAACUUGUCCUAUAAUAGCUUCUCCGGUGAAAUCCCAGUAGCAGUUCAAAACCUAAAAGAUCUGGAGUCUUUGGAUCUGUCACAGAAUGAGCUAUCAGGGAAGAUUCCUCCACAGCUUACAACUCUAACUUUCCUAGAGGCACUGAACUUGUCUUACAACCCACUUGAAGGGAGCAUACCGCAAGGCAACCAGUUCAGUACAUUUUCAAAUGAUUCUUAUCGUGGGAAUCCAAAAUUAUGCGGUCAACCAUUGUCCAAGAAAUGCAAUGAAGACGGUCUUCCAGUGCCACCGCCUCCAGGGGAAGAGGAACAGUCAUGGUUAUAUGCUUUGUCAACUUGGAAAAUUGUUUUGAUAGGUUAUGGUAGUGGUUUGGUCGCUGGGCUAUGUAUCGGAUAUACAGUGUUGAAUGAGUUGGGAAACAAAUGGGUUGACAAGUUCAAAAAACAUGGGAAAAGAAACAGAAGAAGAUCUAGGUGACUGGGUCGGAAUUCAUGUAUUAAAGUCAACAGGUAAACAUUUCCUUUUGAAACUAUAGUCUUUAUAUUUUGAAAAGAUUGAUGUUACAAACUAAUUUUGGAUCAUACAACAUUGCAAUUCCUUAAUUUAAGCAGCAGGAGUGGUGACACAGUGAUUUUGUUUUUCCUACGCAAUAUUCCCAUAUUUGUAUGCUUAUGAGAAGUUAUAUUCUUGGUGGUUUGACUUGUACGUUUCUUAUUUUGUCACAGGGAAAUGACCUCUGUCCUUCUAAGCUUCAAGUCAUUGCAUGUAAUUGGUGGCAAUGAAUCAUUUUUAAGUAGAAAACCACGCAAAGCAUGAUAAAUUUUGUCUUUUUUUGUUUGGGUUUUUGUGCUAUACAUUUUAUCAAACACAUGUUUGGCUUUAGGCUCGGGUGUAAUGGGUAGACCUAUUGGUCCGGGUUUUAGUGCAGUCUGACAUUUGUUUUGUACAAAUAAUUUAUUUAUCUUUUAAUAACAGUUUUAUUACUUUAAAAAUAAGUAAAUAAAAUAUAAUGAAAAAUACGAUAUCUUAAAAUAUGGUCUGUUUUCCGGAGUUGACAAAUAAUUAAAACACUAUAAAUAUGGUAGCUUUUUCAAAUGAUUCUCCCAUUAUGAAACAUUUAAACGAAUUUACGGAAAUGAAAUAUUUAUUUACAAGAAAUAAAAAUUAGCCAUGUUAUGCAUAUGAAAAACAAGAUAAUUGCAAGUGAAAUGAGAAGCUUCAUAUUCUAAUUUUCAGGCCAACAGUCUGAGAAGAAAGCACAGAUUGGCAGAACAAAAGUUGAGAAAAGGAGAAGCAUAUGGUGAAAAGGUUAAUCCCAAAACCAAUAUGUUGCACUCGACGUUCUCUUACAUGUAGUUUAUAUCAUACGCGGAUGGUUGGAUCUUAUUAUCUUAGGAUUUAGUUUACCCAACUGUGAACUUCUGCUUUAAAUACAAUAAUCCUAUUCUAAAUUGGUAUUGGGAUUAGUUUAUUUAUUCUUUCAAUGAUAGUUUUAUUACUUUAAAAAAAUACCCUUCAAUUAAACUUUGUAUGUAAUAAUAUGAUAGUAAUAAUUAAAAGAUAAUGAAAGAAAUUAUGUCUUACAGUCUAGUAAAGGCCAACAAUGUGUCACACUAUCAUUACAAAGUACACAUACUUUGUAGGGAAAUUGAUCCAAUGAAACAGAGGAUUAAACUAGUUUCCAUGCAGGGAAGAAUUGGUAUGCUACAAUACUAAGAAAAAUACUAAUUAAUAACAAAAAAAAUGGUAAUGGAAUCACCCUUGUUAUUGGGCUUAUGAAUUUCAUUGAUUACGACGUGAUAACUGAUGAAUUCUCUUAACAUAUGGGCUAAUCUGGCGGUGGCGGUGCUAACCUCCUUUCGUAUUUUUAUUGGAUACUCCUAUAUAGGAGCUUGGAGAGAAGGAGGACGUGCUCCUCAUAGAGCUGCGUUGCCAUGGCUGUGCCGAGGAAUGUACUGCUUCAGGCGGUUAUUUGCCAGUGUCCUUGUGCAGGUAGCUGGCCAUUUGUGGAGACCACAAAAAAUAAAAAUUAGCCGUGUUUUGCACGAAUAAAUUUUUUUCAUAUUUUAGAUUUAAAUAAUUAUAUAUUCUUUAAUCUCAUUGGUUUCAAUUGGUUUGAUAAAUUUUGAAAUAAAAAAAAUAAAAAACCUUUUGGAAUUGGAAUUAAUUUUUUCAAAGAAUUGGAAUUGGUUUGGUAAACAUUGUUUUCAUGCAGAAAGAUUUAGACAUUUGCAUGCAAUGUCAAAGGCUAAGACUAAGUCUAUGAAUAUAUUGAAAUUAAUAUGAUUAAUAAGACCAAUAAAAUCUCAUAAUUCAGAACUAUGGGGCAUUCUGGAUGGUCUUGGACCAGGUUUGACCAACGUAAAGGCUCUUUAUUCCCUUGUUUCACUUUUUCUUCCUUUCUUCUUUCUCUUCUCAUCCUCUCUUUCUCAAUCUCAUCUCCCAAGCCAACGCUUUGAUGACCAGAUAUCUCCUCCCUUGCAAUUGCAACAUCAUCUUUACUAUAAAUAUAGUAGCUUAUCCAAAUGAUUCACGAAACAUUUAAACGAAUUUAUAGAAAUUAAUACUUAUUUAAAAUAUUUACAAGAAAUAAAAAUUAGCACAUGAAGAAAAAAGAAAGGGAAAAAAAAUCCAUAUUUUAGAUUUAAUAGACUAUAUGUCCUAUGAUUGCGUUUUAAUUGGUAUGAUAAACUAUUUUCGACCAAAGGUCCAUCAAUUGAGCUGAAUUUUAUAUAUGCUGGCCUUCUCAUUGUGGCUAAAAAGGUAGUAAUGGUUGAAGCAUGCAAAGCCUGUUAUAGUAUAGUCCAUGGAGCACUGAUUGUGGGCAGUAGCGGUCGAAGCAUGCAAAAUUAUUGACAUUAUCCUAAACUUUUGUAAAACCAGAACUUAGAAGUGAAAUUCAAUACAAAAUUUCAAUUUUCAAAAUUCAGCAGCCUAUGGCCCGGUGUCGUUGGAUUCAUGUUGUCUGGGAAAUUUCGAGACGGUGUAACAGAAACCAAUCUGGUUUUGACUCUAACGCCAAUGUUGAGGAAACAUGGUCAUGGUGGUGUUGGCGAAUUUAUUGAGUAUUAUGGUUAGGUCUAUGGUCAUAAAUCUUGACAACGGAAUGCUUUACAAUCAAUAAUAUUGGUUUUAAUGUGCGUAUAGGAGAAGGUGUGACUGAUUAGGUAGAUGACAUGUUUUUGGUGCUGAGUAGGGUAGGCAACCACUUCAACCAUUAUUUCAAGUGAAGUUAGAAUAAAAAUAUCCGUUGAAUUAUCAUCUUUGUUCAUUCUACGUGUAAUCAUGGCUCUAAUGAGGUUUAAAGGACAUUAUUAUUGCUAUAAUUUUAUUUUUAAUGAUUUAAAUUUAAGAAAAUUAAAAUUAGAAAAUUAUUUAUAUAGAAUAAAGAGCCGACAAGAAGAUUGAAACCCGGCAUUAAUAAGAAGAAUAAGAGUUCAACAAAGUGGUUCAACAUAGUUUUCAUGCAUUAAUGAUAUGGCAAAAAGACUUUUAACAUUUGCAUCUGCAUGCAAUGCCAACCACUAAGAUUAAAGCCAAUAAUAUCUCAUAUUAUCAUUUUUUUAUAAGUACAAAGUACUAAAAUUUUAUUGUAUCAACAAUAAUGUUUAUAUAUGUUCAAGGAAUCAAUUUUAUAUCAUUUUUGGGUCUUAUACCAAUUUUUACUUAAAAAAUUCAAUAGUAAAUUGUUUUAUUAAAAAAAUUACCAUUAUUUCUUUUUUUUUAAUGACCUUUCUUAAUCAAAUUGGUCCUACAUCAUCAUCAUCAUCAUUAUUGGCAUGCAGUUAUAAAGACUUAGAAUUUUGCAUGCAUAUCAAAGACUUAGAAAUUUCCACUACUUGAUAUUUUAAUGACUUGAAUUAAACAAAGUGGUUGAACAUUACUUUCAUGCAAUUACGGGUGAGUGUUCGAUUGAAUGGAAUCGAAUCGAAUCGAAUGGAAAAAUUUCGAGUUAAUCAAGUUGACGAAUCAUAUUUUAUCGUCCUAAUUUAAUUUGAAAUUUUCUGGAAUCAAGUCGAAUGAGAUGGAAUUCGUUCGAGUCAAAUUUUAAAAAAAAUUUGGGUCGUUGUAACCUUUGUCACCCACCGUAAUAAAAUUUGUCUACCAUAAUCAAAUUUUUUAUUAACUUACAUCACCUCAUAAUUUAUAUUUUAAUCUUUUAUAUAUGGGUUAGCUUCUUUGCUUGCUUAGUUGUUUCAAUUAUCUUCAGAUUCUUGUCACUAUGUAUUUUGGAAUUAAAAAAAUAUAUUAAAUGUAAAAAUGUGAUUUUUUUAAUAAAAGUUAUUUUAAAGAUAAAAUGUGAAAUUGAUACCAACAUAAAAUUUUAACAUGAAUAUUUUAUGGCAUCAUUAAUAAUUCAAAUUUAAUAUAAAUAUUCAAUAUGACUAAACAAUUUAAUAAUAUAAAUAAUAUAAAAUGUGAAAUUUAAUUUAAUAAUAUAAAUAGCAGAUAUAAAUAAAAGUAUUACUAUUUAUGUUUAAGGGAUUUUUUUGGAUAAUUUUAAUUUUUUUAUUUAGGAGUAAAGGGUGAGAAGUAAAAGUUUGAGGGAAAGUAAAUGAGCUGGAUAUAGAAUGCUGGAUGAGUUGGGAAACAAAUGGGUUGAUAAGUUCAAAAAGUGUGGGAAAAGAAAUAGAAGAAGAUGUAGGUGACUCCCAUCAGAAUUCUUGUUUCAAAAUUAGCCGGUAGGCAUUAUUUAUUUAUUUUGAAUAUAUAUAUAUAUAUAUAAGAAACAAAAAAAGGAAAAAAUCAAAACUUUCUUACCUUUUUGGACAGUGAUCGGUAGAUCUAAGCUUGGGAGGCCGAUAGAGAGACAAAAGAAAAAAAGAAAAUUUUUAUUUUUUCUGGCCAACGUGAACGACGGCGCCGUCAGCGGUCAACAAACUCUUUAAUCCUAUUUGGUUUGAAAAAAUAGAUAUAUUUUGGAAGUAGUUUUUUGAAAGAAAUGAAAAGCGUCCAACACAUCUCCACUAAUUCAUUUUUCAAUUAAACCAAGAAAGUUUAAAAAGUUCAAUCUUUUUCAAAUUGUGUUGAAAUUGCACUGCUUCUCUAUUACUUGAUUUAUAUAUUUCUGUGGUUUUUAAGGAAACUAGCAACCCCGGCAAUCGGGUUAUUUGAGAGUACAAUCGUCUUGGAUUAGAAGGGGCUUAAAUAUAUAUAUUUUUCAGUUAUUAAUGUAAGAAAAAAAUUAUAUAUAAACUUUAAUUUAAUGUGCAAUUGUAUAUAACAACCCAUGCAUACUAUCGUUUCUCUGUUAGUUCUACACUAAAAACAUAUAAUUUCCAAAAUAAAGCUAUGAGCUUUGUCUCUAAAUACAUUGAGUUGUUCUACACUCAAUGUCGAGCUUUGUAGAGUUUAGGAGGGAUUUUAAAUUACUUAGAGAUAAAUUUUCAAUGAAUUGUACUUGAGAUGAAUAAUAUGAUUACAAUCUAAUUGAUUCAAGAUGAUCAGUUGAGUUCCACCAUUCAGCUGUGUUACGAACUAUUAAAAAAAUUAUUCAACGUCUUUGGAUGAUUAAGGUGACACAUGUAUUCAAAUAAGGUAAUUGAGAAGUCGAUGGACUGAAAGCAAUGAUAUUUUCAAGGCGUCUAGGCAUGUAUAGUUAUAUGCAACCCUUGGCUAAAUUUCUUUAAAAGUUAUAUGAUUAUUGCUCUGGAAUGACCUGACCCGACUUAAUCCAAUUAUGAUUUUAUCUUUGUUCAUGUAAAAAGAAAGAAAGAAAGAAAAUAAUUGAAGAGAAUACAAAUUAAUUAUGUAAAUCACCGAUAAAAAGAAUCUACUUUUGGACUGAAGAAACUAUAUGGUGGUUGCAUUUCAAUUGGUUGGACAAACUUUGAAAGUGUAAAGGAUUGAAAAGUAGCUAAUAUUAUAAGACAUUUCAACUAAUCUGUGAUCAUCAUUUUCAAUCAACCCAAAAUAUAAAUUUUGGAAUUUUUAUGAAUAUUUUAAAGUUUUGUUGAGAGAUAAAAUUUUUAAGUUUCAAAAUUAAUAGGGAUCAAAUGAGUCUGUUGUAUGAAUUAAUCAAAUUAUUCGAGUUAUUCAAAUUUUAAAAUUUAACUCGAAACUUGACUUAUAAAUAUUUUUAUAUUUUAUAUUUAAUAAUAUAAAACAUAAAAAUUAAAUAUAAAACAUAAAAAAUAUUUAAAUUAAAUAAAAAUUAAAAAAUAAUAUAAAAAUGAAAGUCUUUCUCCAAACUUCACCCAAAAACACUUUAAGAAAAUUUCCACUCCUUGUGUCCAUCAAUCCAUCUCAACCAGCUAACAAAUUUACUAUAAUUUUGUCUUUAUAGUAUGACUUCACUUGUACACAAUGGUUGAAUGUUAUUUUUGUGCAAUCAAAAUUUAGAAAUUUGGAACAAAAAGAUGAGCUCUCUCUCUAAAAAUUCUGAAAAUGAGAAAUCUAUUUCUGAGGAGUUGAUCCCCAAGAAAGUUCGUUUCAGAGGCGAAGAUGUUGAUGCUAACAAUAUUAUGAUGCUAACAAGAUUUAAUAGACUAUAUGUCCUAUUAUUGCGUUUAAAUUGGUAUGAUAACCUAUUUUCGACCAAAGGUCCAUCAAUUGAGCUGAAUUUUAUAUAUGCUGGCCUUCUCAUUGUGGCUAAAAAGGUAGUAAUAUGAAGCACGCAAAGCCUGUUAUAGUAUAGUCCAUGGAGCACUGAUUGUGGGCAGUAGUGGUCGAAGCAUGCAAAAUUAUUGACAUUAUCCUAAACUUUUGUAAAACCAAAACUUAGAAGUGAAAUUCAAUACAAAAUUUCAAUUUUCAAAAUUCAGCAGCCUAUAGCCCUGUGUCGUUGGAUUCAUGUUGUCUGGGAAAUUUCGAGACGGUGUAACAGAAACCAAUCUGGUUUUGACUCUAACGCCAAUGUUGAGGAAACAUGGUCAUGGUGGUGUUGGCGAAUUUAUUGAGUAUUAUGGUUAGGUCUAUGGUCAUAAAUCUUGACAACGGAAUGCUUUACAAUCAAUAAUAUUGGUUUUAAUGUGCGUAUAGGAGAAGGUGUGACUGAUUAGGUAGAUGACAUGUUUUUGGUGCUGAGUAUGUUAACAUUAAUGGAAGACAAUUAAUAAUGGUUGCCAUUAACAUUAAUGGGAGACAAUCAAUAAUGACAACCACCAACUUUGGAAAAGUGGCAAGGGAUAAUUUUUUUUUGGUCCUUGAGAUAAUGGGCUAUUUAUUGUUUGGUCCUUGAACCUCCACUAUAAAUAGGCCUUCUCAUUUCUCAUUUCAAUUCAUCCCAACCAAUCUUUCUCUCUUAGUUUUCUCUCUUCUCCCAUUUGAGAAUUCUUAAGGAAUUCUAUUUGUUUGUAAUAUUUUGGAGAUAGUAAAGUUAUCAUCUGGUGUUAGUGCCCGAGGACGUAGGUAUAAUUUACCGAACCUCGUUAAAACUCUUGUGUUCUUUCUUGUCCUAUUUUUCUUUCAAUAUUUGAGGGUAUAAUAGUACUAUUUAAUUGUGCUAUUAAAUUACUAUAAAAGGGAUAUUCUGACUAAGGAAAGACUUGGUAUUUAAGAGAUCCUUGUGAUCCACCUCUCUUCUCUGGAAAUUGAACUUUGUGUGAUUUUUUAGUACAAUAAUUUACACGCUUCCGACCCUAUUGGAACAACAAGUGGUAUCAGAGCCGAAGGUUAAUCGUAGUAUGCUCUGUGGUUGCAGUUUGAACUGAUCUUCCACAUCAUAAAAGAUUUCCUUAGGUAUAUUGAAAGAUUAUGGAGAAAACGGUCGGUGUAGGAGCUUCAACAUCGUCCAUGUGGACAAGACCGACAAUUGCAAAUGCAAGACUGGCCGUGGAGAUCUUUGAUGGCACGGGCCAUUUUGGUAUGUGGCAAAAUGAGGUUCUAAAUGCCCUUUUUCAGCAGGGUCUAGACAUUGCCAUUGAUGAAGAGAAACUAGAUGAUGUACAGGGUACAGGAGAAAGAUUGGAAAGCGAUCAAUCGGUUGGCAUGUGGCACAAUUCGAUCAUGCCUUUCUUGAGAGCAGAGGUAUGCUUUUUCAAAGGAGACUUUUGCAAAUAAGUUGUGGGUGGCACUUGAAGAAAAUUUUUUGAAGAAAAACAGUCAAAAUAAGCUCCACUUGAAGAAAAGACGUUUCGCUUCACAUACGUCCCAAGUACCACAAUGAAUGAUCACAUCACCAAAUUUAAUCAGUUAGUCAUUGAUUUGCUGAAUAUGGAUGAGACAUUCAAAGAUGAAGAUUUGGCUUUGAUGCUGUUGGGGUCACUUCCUGAGGAGUUUGAGUUCCUAGAAACUACUCUACUUCAUGGCAGGAGUGAUAUAUCUCUGAGCGAAGUCUGUGCGGCCUUAUACAGUUAUGAACAGAGAAAGAAGGACAAACAGAAAAACUCAAUCAGAGAUACAGAAGCUUUAGUAGUCCGAGGUCGUUCAUACACUCAGAAGAAAACUCAAAAGGGGAGAUCAAAGUCAAAGUCCAGACUCGGGAAAGAUGAAUGUGCCUUUUGUCAUGAGAAAGGCCACUGGAAGAAAAAUUGUCCAAAGCUGAAGAAUAAGGGAAAAGCUACUGUAGAUGCUUGUGUUGCAAAGCAUGAUACUAGUGACUCUGAACUAUCACUGGUUGCAUCAUCAUCGUCGUUCUAUUCAGAUGAGUGGAUAUUGGAUUCGGGUUGUACCUUUCAUAUGUCCCCUAACUGGGAGUGGUUCUCUGAUUUUGUAGAACUAAAUGGAGGAGUUGUUUAUAUGGGCAAUGACAAUGCCUGUAAAACUGUUGGGAUAGGUUCAAUCCAAUUAAAGAAUCAAGAUGGAUCAACCAGAGUUCUGACUGAUGUUCGGUACGUGCCCAGUUUGAAGAAAAAUCUCAUCUCAUUGGGAGCCUUGGAAUCCAAUGGUUCAGUUGUUACUAUGAGAGAUGGGGUUUUGAAAGUGACAUCUGGCGCACGUGUGAUAUUGAAGGGCAUCAGGAAAAAUAACUUGUAUUACUACCAAGGUAGUACAGUUAUUGGAGCAGUCGCUGCAGCUUCCGGCAACAAAGAAUUGGACUCAAUACAGUUGUGGCAUAUGAAGUUGGGACAUGCCAACGAAAAAUCCUUGCAAUUUCUGGCAAAGCAAGGAUUGUUGAAAGGUGCAAAGGCUUACAAAUUAAAAUUUUACGAGCAUUGUGUUCUGGGAAAGCAAAAGAGAGUGAAAUUCGGUACUGCUAUCCAUAAUACAAAAGGUAUUUUCGAAUAUGUUCACUCAGAUGUGUGGGGGCCUUCCAAGACACCUUCAUUGGGAGGAAAACACUACUUUGUUACUUUUUUUGAUGACUUUUCCAGAAGAGUUUGGGUGUAUACCAUGAGAACUAAGGAUGAAGUGCUUAGAGUUUUUCUUAAAUGGAAAACUAUGAUCGAAAACCAGACUGGCAAGAAAAUCAAGCGGCUUAGGACGAACAAUGGAGGGGAAUAUAAAAGUGAUCCGUUCUUCGAUGUGUGCCAAGAGUAUGGUAUUGUUCGACACUUCACAGUUAGGGAUACACCACAGCAGAAUGGAGUGGCAGAGCGUAUGAAUCGAACAUUACAGGAGAAAGUUCGAUGUAUGUUGUCCAAUGCUGGGUUGGGCAAGCAAUUUUGGGCUGAGGCUGUGACAUACGCUGGCCAUCUUGUUAAUCGUUUGCCAUCAUCUGCAUUAGAAAGAAAAACUCCUAUGGAGGUAUGGUCUGGAAAACCGGUUACAGAUUAUGAUUCCUUACAUGUGUUUGGAACCACUGCAUAUUACCAUGUAAAGGAGUCAAAGUUAGAUCCGAGGGCAAAGAAAGCUCUCUUUAUGGGAAUCACUUCUGGAGUGAAGGGAUUUCGUCUUUGGUGCUUAAGCACAAAGAAAAUGAUCUGUAGCAGAGAUGUUACCUUUGAUGAAUCUGCCACAUUGAAAAAGGUAGCAGAUAAAGAUAUUCAGACGAGCAAUACUCCACAGCAGGUGGAGUGUACUCCAAAACAGGUGGAGUUUGAGCAGAUGGGGAUUUGCCCAGUUAAUAAGUCUAAUUCUCCAGCCACAAUGGAGGAAUUAGAGGUUGAAGAGGUUCUGACCCAAGAACCACUAAGUACACCAAAACCAGUUGCAGUUGCAAGGCUACGGAGAGAAAUUCGUAAACCUGCUCGAUUUACUGAUAUGGUGGCCUACGCCCUUCCCGUUGUUGAUGAUAUUCCUAUCACUUAUCAAGAAGCAAUGCAAAGCUUAGAAAGUGAUAAAUGGAAAAGCGCCAUGGAUGAAGAAAUGCAGUCUCUCCGGAAGAACAAUACUUGGGAGUUGGCGCAAUUACCGAAAGGUAAAAGGGCAAUCGGAUGCAAGUGGGUAUUCGCAAAGAAAGAUGGAUCUCCUAGCAAGAAGGAUAUUCGCUACAAGGCAAGAUUGGUAGCUAAAGGCUAUGCUCAGAAGGAGGGAAUUGACUACAAUGAUGUAUUUUCCCCUGUUGUGAAGCAUUCCUCCAUUAGAAUUUUGUUGGCCUUGGUAGCACAGUUGAAUUUGGAGCUAGCUCAACUUGAUGUUAAGACGGCUUUCUUGCAUGGUGAGUUAGAAGAGGAGAUCUAUAUGACUCAGCCCGAAGGAUACACAAAUGCUGGUGGUAGAAAUUGAGUUUGUAAGCUUAACAAAUCGUUAUAUGGAUUGAAGCAAUCCCCGAGGCAGUGGUACAAGCGAUUUGAUAGCUUUAUGAGAAGGCAGAAGUACACAAGAAGCAAAUAUGACAAUUGUGUAUAUUUGCAGAAGCUGCAUGACGGAUCUUUGAUUUAUCUACUCUUGUAUGUUGAUGAUAUGUUAAUCGCUUCGAAGAGCCAAAAUGAGAUAGAUAAGCUGAAGGCUCAGUUGAAUCAAGAGUUCGAGAUGAAAGAUCUAAGUGAGGCCAAGAAGAUUCUCUGCAUGGAGAUAAGUAGAGAUAGACAGAGAGGCAAGCUUUGUUUGAAUCAGAAGCAAUAUCUGAAAAAGGUAUUACAAUGUUUUGGUGUAAAUGAAAACACAAAACAUGUAAGUACCCCACUUGCUUCUCAUUUGAAACUUAGUGCUCAAUUAUCUCCGAAGACUGAAGAUGAAAGAGAAUAUAUGGCGAAAGUCCCAUAUGCUAAUGCAGUUGGGAGUUUGAUGUAUGCGAUGGUGUGUACGAGGCCUGACAUUUCACAAGCUGUUGGAGUUGUGAGCAGGUAUAUGCAUGAUCCUGGAAAAGGACAUUGGCAAGCUGUGAAAUGGAUUCUACGGUAUCUUCGAAAAACCAUAGAUGUUGGUUUAAUUUUUGAACAGGAUGAAGCACUUGGUCAGUUUGUAGUUGGAUAUGUUGAUUCCGACUUUGCUGGUGAUUUAGAUAAAUGUCGUUCAACUACGGGGUAUCUGUUUACUCUUGCGAAAGCCCCAGUGAGUUGGAAGUCUACCUUACAGUCUACAGUAGCUGUGUCUACUACAGAGGCAGAAUAUAUGGCAGUUACAGAAGCUGUUAAGGAGGCUAUUUGGCUUAAUGGAUUGUUGAAAGACUUAGGAGUUGUUCAAAGUCACAUAAGUUUAUAUUGUGACAGUCAGAGCGCUAUUCAUUUAGCGAAAAAUCAAGUCUAUCAUUCAAGAACCAAGCAUAUCGACGUAAGAUAUCACUUUGUGCGGGAAGUCUUUGAAAAAGGAAAAAUUCUACUUCAGAAGAUUCCGACAGCAGAUAAUCCCGCAGAUAUGAUGACCAAGGUGGUAACAACAAUCAAGUUUAAUCAUUGUUUGAACUUGAUUAACAUCCUGAGAAUUUGAGCACCUUCAGGUGUAUGGCGCUCGAGAGCGCAUUUGUAGGCACUACAAAAGAUAGCUUUAUCGAAUUUGGGGAGUUGAAGAAAGUGUGUGAAGAUGUGAUUAUCCUAAUCAAAUCUUCAAGGUGGAGAUUGUUAACAUUAAUGGAAGACAAUUAAUAAUGGUUGCCAUUAACAUUAAUGGGAGACAAUCAAUAAUGACAACCACCAACUUUGGAAAAGUGGCAAGGGAUAAUUUUUUUUUGGUCCUUGAGAUAAUGGGCUAUUUAUUGUUUGGUCCUUGAACCUCAACUAUAAAUAGGCCUUCUCAUUUCUCAUUUCAAUUCAUCCCAACCAAUCUUUCUCUCUUAGUUUUCUCUCUUCUCCCAUUUGAGAAUUCUUAAGGAAUUCUAUUUGUUUGUAAUAUUUUGGAGAUAGUAAAGUUAUCAUCUAGUGUUAGUGCCUGAGGACGUAGGUAUAAUUUACCGAACCUCGUUAAAACUCUUGUGUUCUUUCUUGUCCUAUUUUUCUUUCAAUAUUUGAGGGUAUAAUAGUACUAUUUAAUUGUGCUAUUAAAUUACUAUAAAAGGGAUAUUCUGACUAAGGAAAGACUUGGUAUUUAAGAGAUCCUUGUGAUCCACCUCUCUUCUCUGGGAAUUGAACUUUGUGUGAUUUUUUAGUACAAUAAUUUACACGCUUCCGACCCUAUUGGAACAACAGAGUAGGGUAGGCAACCACUUCAACCAUUAUUGCAAGUGAAGUUAGAACAAAAAUAUCCGUUGAAUUAUCAUCUUUGUUCAUUCUACGUGUAAUCAUGGCUCUAAUGACGUUUAAAGGACAUUAUUAUUGCUAUAAUUUUAUUUUUUAAUGAUUUAAAUUUAAGAAAAAUAAAAUUAGAAAAUUAUUUAUAUAGAAUAAAGAGUCGACAAGAAGAUUGAAACCUGGCAUGAAUAAGAAGAAUAAGAGUUCAACAAAGUGGUUCAACAUAGUUUUCAUGCAUUAAUGAUAUGGCAAAAAGACUUUUAACAUUUGCAUCUGCAUGCAAUGCCAACCACUAAGAUUAAAGCCAAUAAUAUCUCAUAUUAUCAUUUUUUUAUAAGUAUUAAAAUUUUCUUGUAUCAACGAUAAUGUUUAUAUAUGUUCAAGGAAUCAAUUUUAUAUCAUUUUUGGGUCUUAUACCAAAUUUUACUUAAAAAAUUCAAUAGUAAAUUGUUUUAUUAAAAAAUUACCAUUAUUUCUUUUUUUUUAAUGACCUUUCUUAAUCAAAUUGGUACUACAUCAUCAUCAUCAUUAUUAUUGGCAUGCAGUUAUAAAGACUUAGAAUUUUGCAUGCAUAUCAAAGACUUAGAAAUUUCCACUACUUGAUAUUUUAAUGACUUGAAUUAAACAAAGUGGUUGAACAUUACUUUCAUGCAAUUAGGGGUGAGUGUUCGAUCUAAUGGAAUCGAAUUGAAAAAUUUCGAGUUAAUCAAGUUGACGAAUCAUAUUUUAUCAUCCUAAUUUAAUUUGAAAUUUUCUGGAAUCAAGUCGAAUGAGAUGGAAUUCGUUCGAGUCAAAUUUUAAAAAAUAAUUUUGGGUCGUUGUAACCACUGUCACCCACCGUAAUAAAAUUUGUCUACCAUAAUCAAAUUUUUUAUUAACUUUCAUCACCUCAUAAUUUAUAUUUUAAUCUUUUAUAUAUGUGUUAGCUUCUUUGUUUGCUUAGUUGUUUCAAUUAUCUUCAGAUUCUUGUCACUACGUAUUUUGGAAUUAAAAAAAUAUAUUAAAUGUAAAAUGUGAUUUUUUUAAUAAAAGUUAUUUUAAAGAUAAAAUGUGAAAUUGAUACCAAUAUAAAAUUUUAACAUGAAUAUUUUAUGGCAUCAUUAAUAAUUCAAAUUUAAUAUAAAUAUUCAAUAUUACUAAACAAUUCAAUAAUAUAAUAAUAUAAAAUGUGAAAUUUAAUUUAAUAAUAUAAAUAGCAGAUAUAAAUAAAAGUAUUACUAUUUAUGUUUAAGAGAUUUUUUUGGAUAAUUUUAAUUUUUUUUAUUUGGGAGUAAAGGGUGAGAAGUAAAAGUUUUGGGGAAAAAUAAAAAGUUUUGGGGAGUAAAAGUUUGAGGGAAAGUAAAUGAGCUGGAUAUACAAUGCUGAAUGAGUUGGGAAACAAAUGGGUUGAUAAGUUCAAAAUGUGUGGGAAAAGAAAUAGAAGAAGAUGUAGGUGACUCCCAUCAGAAUUCUUGUUUCAAAUUUAGCCGGUAGGCAUUAUUUAUUUAUUUUGAAUAUAUAUACAUAUAUAAAGGAAACAAAAAAAAAAGAAAAAAAAUCAAAACUUUCUUACCUUUUCCGACAGUGAUCGGUAGAUCUCAGCUUGGGAGGCCGAUAGAGAGACGAAAGAAAAAAAUAAAAUUUUUAUUUUUUCCGGCCAGCGUGAACGACGGCGCCGUCAGCGGUCAAUAAACUCUUUAAUCCUAUUUGGUUUGAAAAAAUAGAUAUAUUUUGGAAGUAGUUUUUUGAAAGAAAUGAAAAGCGUCCAACACAUCUCCACUAAUUCAUUUUUCAUUUAAACCAAGAAAGUUUAAAAAGUUCAAUCUUUUUCAAAUUGUGUUGAAAUUGCACUGCUUCUCUAUUACUUGAUUUAUAUAUUUCUGUGGUUUUUAUGCAUCAUCACUAACAGCUUUAAAUAAUAAAUUAUUAUCCCUUGCUUUAAUAUGUUGGAAAAAGUUGACUAAAAAGACUUAACUGAAGUGGUGGAACAGUAUUUUGAUGGACUAUUGAUUUGGCAAAAUGACUUAGAAAUUGCAUGCAAUGCCAAUCACCCAUAAAUAUUGUUCUAUGGAAACUACACAUUUGUGUAUAAAUAUGUUGUAUGCCAGACACAAUCCUCCUUCACACCCACCCAACAUGAACACUCUUCAUUCCCUUAUUUCUUCACUCUUUCUCUCCUCAUGCUUCCUUCCUCUUCUCUUGUCUUUUUCACCUCCUCAAACUCAUCUCCCAAUGCAAUGCCUUGAUGACCAGAGAGCUCCUCUGCUGCAAUUGCAGCAUCAUCUUUACUAUGCCCCUAAUUUUACUUUCUCUUCCAAAUUUGACCUCUGGGACCCCAACACUGAUUGUUGUUCUUGGGAAGGAGUCACUUGUGAUGCUUAUGGCCAUGUCGUUGGCAUUGGUCUUAGUUACAAAAACCUUUCAGGCAGCUUCCACUCCAUAUUCGAUCUCCAUCAUCUUCAACACCUUAAUCUUGCUGGAAACAACUUUAAUACCACUCUGUUUUCCUAUGGGUUUGAUAAACUCCAAAAUCUAACUCAUCUCAACCUUUCAAGCUCAUGUUUCCAUGGCCAAAUUCCAGUGGAGAUCUCAUUCUUAAAAAGGUUAGUCUCUCUUGAUCUAUCCAAUCAAUAUUCCUGUUAUUUGCGAUACUACACCAUUCUUGACCCAUAUAGAGGCGUCUACUACUACUAUCCAUUGCCUUACGAACUUCAACAGCCUCUUAAAUUAGAGAAUCCAAACUUCAAGACAUUAAUCAAGAAUUUGAGGUUUCUCACAGAGCUUUAUUUGGAUGGGGUAAACAUUUCAUCUCAAAGUGCUAAAUGGUGUGAAACCACAUCUCUUGUACUUUCCAACCUGCGUGUGUUGAGUCUGUCAAACUGUGGCUUGAAAGGUCCAUUAUGUUCUUCACUCUCAAGACUCUCUUUUCUUUCCAAACUUAUCCUUGAUUGGAACCCAAUCUCUUAUUUACCUCCCAAUUUCUUGGAAAUUUCCUCUCGUUUGGUUUCUCUCAGUUUGAGGAACUGCAAUUUGAAUGGGCAAUUUCCAACCGGAAUUCUCUUAUUGCCACAAAUUCAAAGCGUUGACAUUUCAUUGAAUGACCAACUUAUGGGUCAGUUGCCAGAAUUUCCAGCAAACAAUGCUUUACAGAGUUUGUCGCUUUUUUAUACAAAUUUCAGUGGAAAACUACCUCAAUCAAUUGGUAAUCUCAAAUUCUUGACUAAUUUGAAGCUGUUUAGUUGCAAUUUUUUUGGACCCAUUCCAUCGUCAAUUGCAAAUCUUAGUCACCUGGUGAACUUGGAUCUAAGUUCAAACAAGCUUUCUGGAUCAAUACAUUCUUCUUUAUUUACUCUUCCAUCGUUGAAGAUCUUGUGUCUUGGAGACAAUCAAUUGGUUGGGAAAAUUGAUGAGUUCCCCAAUGCAUCUUCUUCUUUGAUUCAAGAAUUACAUAUAGGCAAUAAUUAUUUAACAGGAACAAUCCCGAAGUCAAUCCUCCAACUUCCAAGGCUUGAAGGGCUUUAUAUCGGAGGCAAUAGCUUCAGUUCCAUGAAGCUUGACAUGUUUGUCCAACUUAAGAACUUAAAGGAUCUCGAAUUAUCCAAAGUAAGUUUGUUAAUUGAAAGCGACAACAGAAGUCUUACUUUUCCCCAAUUAGAGACCCUAUGGCUAAUGUCAUGCAACCUUACUGAAUUUCCAGAAUUCAUUAAAAGGCAAGACAAGUUGGUUGACUUAGAUCUUUCUAACAAUCAUAUCCAUGGUGUUGUGCCUAAUUGGUUGUGGAAGAGCAGCCUUUCAUCCUUACACCUUUCUUUCAAUGUGAUUGAUUUUCCAAAACAACUUACUUUAAGUGAUUCAAACUUCUCUUUCCCAAUGUUGAGGGAAUUGUCUCUGGAAUCUUGUAACUUAAGCGCAUUUCCGGAGUUCUUAAAGAGUCAAGAAAAUAUAGGACAUCUUGAACUUUCAAAUAAUAAAAUAAGUGGUGCAAUACCAAACUGGGUGUGGAAGAAAAGUUUGCGUGUUCUCAAUCUUGCAAAUAACCAUAUCUCAUCUUUGGACCAACUUUUACCCAAUCAGAGUUCAACUUCUUCACAAACCUCCUUGGCUAGACCUAUUUGCAAUUUGAGUCAACUUAUAAAUUUCAAUGCAUCUCAUAACAAUUUGAGCGGCAAGAUUCCAAAUUGCUUAGGCAAAAUGAAUGAUCUCUGUUUGUUGGAUCUGCAAGGAAAUAACUUCAGUGGAAUGUUACCAAAAUUUUCAAAAGCAACCCACUUAUAUAUUCUCAAAGUUAGUGAGAAUAGAUUGGAAGGGAAGUUGCCCAGAUCAUUAGCUGAAUGCACUCAGCUUGAAGUUUUGGACGUGGGAAACAACAAGAUGAAUGAUACGUUCCCUUUUUGGUUGGAGAAAUUGCCUUACUUGACGGUUCUAAUAUUGCGGGAAAACAGAUUUUAUGGUCAAAUUAAACAUAGAUUUGUUUUCCCAACUUUGGAUGUGUUGGACAUUGCUUCAAACCAGUUUUCUGGUGAACUAUCCAUUGAUUUCCUUCAAGCCACUCGACUAAGGUCACUCAAAAUAGGUGGGAAUAAAUUAGAAGGGAAGUUGUCGAGAUCAUUAGCCAAUUGUAAAGCACUUGAGGUUCUGGACCUUGGAAAUAAUAUGGUUCAUGAUACAUUCCCAUUUUGGUUAGAGAAGCUGCCUUCCUUGAAGGUUCUCAUUUUACGAGCAAACAGAUUCUACGGCACAAUUACAAAAUUCGACACGAAACAUGGGUUUCCAAAGCUACGCAUAUUGGACAUUGCUUCCAACAAUUUUUCAGGCGACUUGUCCAUUGAAUUUUUUGCAAAGCUUGAAGGCAAUGAUGCAGUUAACAAAUGACGACAAAGCUAAGCUGGAUUACAUUGGAGAGAAUUAUUAUCAAGAUUCAGUGACAAUUUUCAACAAAGGGAUUGAGCUGUUUUACGAGAAAAUCUUAACCACUCUUACUUGUCUUGACCUUUCCAACAAUAGUUUCCAUGGGAGAAUAUCAGAAGAAAUACAAAUGCUGAGGUCACUCAAAGUGCUAAACUUGUCCUAUAAUAGCUUCUCCGGUGAAAUCCCAGUAGCAUUUGAAAACCUAAAAGAUCUCGAGUCUUUGGAUCUCUCACAGAAUGAGCUGUCAGGGAAGAUUCCUCCACAUCUUACAAGUUUAACUUUCUUAGCGGCAUUGAACUUGUCUUACAACCAACUUGAAGGGAGCAUACCACAAAGCAACCAAUUCAUUACAUUUACAAAUGAUUCCUACCGUGGGAACCCAAAAUUGUGUGGGCUGCCAUUGUCAAGGAAAUGCAAUGAAGUCGGUCUUCCAGUGGCACCACCUCCACGGCGAGAUGAAGAAUCAUGGUUAUAUGCUAUGUCUACUUGGAAAAUUGCGUUGAUAGGUUAUACUAGUGGAUUAGUCGUUGGGCUAUGUAUUGGAUAUACAGUGCUGAAUGAGUUGGGAAACAAAUGGGUUGACAAGUUCAAAAAGCGUGGGAAAAGAAAUAGAAGAAGAUGUAGGUGACUGGAUCAGAAUUCUUGCUUCAUAAUUAGCUGGUAAGCAUUUGUCUUU